GUGCCAGCCGCCGCGGUAAGACGGAGGGUGCUAGCGUUGUUCGGAAUCACUGGGCGUAAAGGGCGCGUAGGCGGCCAAGGCAGUCGGCUCGUGAAAGCCCGGGGCUCAACCCCGGAGGUGCGGCCGAUACUCUUUGGCUGGAGGCCGGAAGAGGAGGGUGGAAUACCCAGUGUAGAGGUGAAAUUCGUAGAUAUUGGGUGGAACACCGGUGGCGAAAGCGGCUCUCUGGUCCGGACCUGACGCUGAGGCGCGAAAGCGUGGGGAGCAAACAGGAUUAGAUACCCCCGUAGUCC
rnacentral:rRNA from 1 species